rnacentral:rRNA from 1 species
CGGCAGGCCUAACACAUGCAAGUCGAACGGUAACAGGAAGCCUCUUGCUGCUUUGCUGACGAGUGGCGGACGGGUGAGUAAUGUCUGGGAAACUGCCUGAUGGAGGGGGAUAACUACUGGAAACGGUAGCUAAUACCGCAUAACGUCGCAAGACCAAAGAGGGGGACCUUAGGGCCUCUUGCCAUCGGAUGUGCCCAGAUGGGAUUAGCUAGUAGGUGGGGUAACGGCUCACCUAGGCGACGAUCCCUAGCUGGUCUGAGAGGAUGACCAGCCACACUGGAACUGAGACACGGUCCAGACUCCUACGGGAGGCAGCAGUGGGGAAUAUUGCACAAUGGGCGCAAGCCUGAUGCAGCCAUGCCGCGUGUAUGAAGAAGGCCUUCGGGUUGUAAAGUACUUUCAGCGGGGAGGAAGGGAGUAAAGUUAAUACCUUUGCUCAUUGACGUUACCCGCAGAAGAAGCACCGGCUAACUCCGUGCCAGCAGCCGCGGUAAUACGGAGGGUGCAAGCGUUAAUCGGAAUUACUGGACGUAAAGCGCACGCAGGCGGUUUGUUAAGUCAGAUGUGAAAUCCCCGGGCUCAACCUGGGAACUGCAUCUGAUACUGGCAAGCUUGAGUCUCGUAGAGGGGGGUAGAAUUCCAGGUGUAGCGGUGAAAUGCGUAGAGAUCUGGAGGAAUACCGGUGGCGAAGGCGGCCCCCUAGACGAAGACUGACGCUCAGGUGCGAAAGCGUGGGGAGCAAACAGGAUUAGAUACCCUGGUAGUCCACGCCGUAAACGAUGUCGACUUGGAGGUUGUGCCCUUGAGGCGUGGCUUCCGGAGCUAACGCGUUAAGUCGACCGCCUGGGGAGUACGGCCGCAAGGUUAAAACUCAAAUGAAUUGAUGGGGGCCCGCACAAGCGGUGGAGCAUGUGGUUUAAUUCGAUGCAACGCGAAGAACCUUACCUGGUCUUGACAUCCACGGAAGUUUUCAGAGAUGAGAAUGUGCCUUCGGGAACCGUGAGACAGGUGCUGCAUGGCUGUCGUCAGCUCGUGUUGUGAAAUGUUGGGUUAAGUCCCGCAACGAGCGCAACCCUUAUCCUUUGUUGCCAGCGGUCCGGCCGGGAACUCAAAGGAGACUGCCAGUGAUAAACUGGAGGAAGGUGGGGAUGACGUCAAGUCAUCAUGGCCCUUACGACCAGGGCUACACACGUGCUACAAUGGCGCAUACAAAGAGAAGCGACCUCGCGAGAGCAAGCGGACCUCAUAAAGUGCGUCGCAGUCCGGAUUGGAGUCUGCAACUCGACUCCAUGAAGUCGGAAUCGCUAGUAAUCGUGGAUCAGAAUGCCACGGUGAAUACGUUCCCGGGCCUUGUACACACCGCCCGUCACACCAUGGGAGUGGGUUGCAAAAGAAGUAGGUAGCUUAACCUUCGGGAGGGCGCUUACCACUUUGUGAUUCAUGACUGG